rnacentral:sRNA from 1 species
CCUUCCAGAAUGCUCUCAUGAUUUCCCAGCUGCUGCCCGUUCUGAACCACAAGACCUACAUUGAUCUGAUCUUCCCAGACUGCCUGGCACCACGAGUCAUGUUGGAACCAGCUGCUGAGACCAUUCCUCAGGCCCAAGAGAUCAUCAGUGUCACACUGCAGGUGCUUAGCCUCUUGCCACCGUACAGACAGUCCAUCUCUGUUCUUGCCGGGUCCACCGUGGAAGAUGUCCUGAAGAAGGCCCAUGAGUUAGGAGGAUUCACGUGAGAUUCCCACCUCCCAGUCCUCACCCCACCCAACCUCACAUGCCUGAUACAGGGUCACAGAAGAGACGGGGGACAGAGGAGAGGGUUCUCUUGGGAGAGACACUGGCCCUGCUUCUGCUUCUACCUGCUCCGCUCCUUUCUUGCCCACGGUCUUAUGGAAACGGAGCCAUAGGCCAGCAUUGUCAUAGAGCAGGCUUUGGAAGCAGAGUCCC